rnacentral:tRNA from 1 species
AGAAACUUAGGAUUAACCACCGCCCAAACCAAAGGCCUUCAAAGCCUUAAAUAAGAGUUAAACUCUCUUAGUUUCUG